UACGAACCGUCCAAACGGUACUCGGAAUCAAUGGGCUUAAAGGGUGCGUAGGCCGCGCGGAGGGUGGGAUGUGAAAUCCCCCGGCUCAACCGGGGAAUAGCGUCCCAAACCGCCGUGCUCGAGGGAGACAGAGGUGUGCGGAACUGAUGGUGGAGCGGUGAAAUGCGUUGAUAUCAUCAGGAACACCAGUGGCGAAAGCGGCUCACUGGGUCUUUCCUAACGCUGAGGCACGAAAGCUAGGGGAGCGAACGGG
rnacentral:rRNA from 1 species